CUACUGCACCCAGACUAUGAGGGCGCUCGCAGGAAGAACAUGUGCUUUCUGUUUUUUCUCUGAAAACCACAGUAGAAUAUCUCUUUAGUUGUUGCUACCACUCUAUUUAUGACUUUUUUGGACAAGGAAGGCAAUCUUUACUACAAGAUUUGCUGAACAAUCUGCUGUUUGCUAGUUGACUCAUUUGCAUAAUUCAAGAGACCAUGGUCUCAUCACAAUGAUGUAUUAUGAUAAUGAAUAUUCAUUGUCAGACACUUGAAACUACAAAAAUCUGGAAACUGCUGAAAUGACACCACAACAAGAACAACUUCUAGAUAGCAUGUAAAUGUGCAUUUCACCACAGCGAAUCACGCGCACUUUGUAGCCUUCCACCGCUUGGAUAGGCCAGGGAACAUUUUAAACAAAAAUUUUGUAGAAGGCUGAAAGAUUUCAGCAAACCGGUGGAAUCAUCCUGCUCAUCUCACUGACUAUAAUGUUGCUUUCUUGUUUUGCGCUCGUUAAUUCUGCUGAAUGAAAAUUUAGACAUCGUACCUCUGCAACAAGUGGACCGGAACUGCUUGGCUGAAUGGUGAAUUUUGCUUCCUCUAGUGAAUGAAUGUGGCUACUGGUGAUUUGGCAAUUGAAGCUUUCUAUUUCAAAUAGUCUUUGAAAUUCAGUAAAUAAUCAUUGGAAAUAAUUUGAAUAAAUAAAUAUUCAUUGUAA